UAAAAGGCAUUGUGGAUUCUGCCUUGCUCUCUCUUGGAUCACUUGCUCUGGGAGAAGCCAGCUGCCAUGCCACGAGGACACUCAAGCAGCUUGAUGGAGAAGUCUACCUAGUGAGGAACUGAGGUCUCCUGCCAACAACCAGCAAGGAAUUGAGGCCUUCUGCCAACAGCUAUCUGUCUAACAGUGGAAUGAAUGGUGCCACCUGGAGCAGAAGCAGAGAGUUCCCUGUGUUCAACUAGGAGGACCCCCGCCUCUCAGGGAUACUGUAAAGGAACCUAGCUCAAAACCACUUCUCUGCCAGAAGUGCUCUCCAGGAAUUCUGGCCCGUGAAUAUCCUUCUUACUCAGUUAUUUUACGAUGUGAACAACUCCAUCUUGAAAUAAAUUGAACUGGGGAAAACUGGAAGUCUGGACUCUAGAGAGGUGUCUCCAGAGAGACAUGAAGAAUGACGGAGACACAGAGACCUCAGAAAAAAUUAGACAAUAUGGACACUAUGCUUCCUCAACGGGAAUUUUCUAAGGACUUAAAAACCAGUCCUUUGUCACUUCAAGUCAAGCUAUUGAUAUAGCUUUGGGCUUGUGGAUGUGUUAUUCAUGUUCUUGCUCAUCCCAUGGAAGUUGUGAAAUAAGGAAUAAACAUCAAUUCACAAGAAGAAUAAUGGCUGAUGAUCUGGUGGAUGAGCAGCUGAGCAACUGUGAUGCGCGCCAAAAGAGUCAAAAGUCAACUCUUCUUAAAGCACCACCAUCCACAUUAAUAUGACAGACCAGAAUAACUCUGAGGGAGCCAUUAUGAUCCAUUACGAAAAUAACAUUCAUUUGCAAAAUGAGGAACAUACCAAAAUGCAAGUGGUUCCAGUUCUUUCAGCUAAAUUACACAUUAAGCAAGCAGACUUCCUCUUCCAACAUUUUGAAACGGUUUAAUAUGCACUCGGGCUGGCCAGGGCCUAGAUUUUCUAAGACCGCCCCAAAGGUGAAGCCUCGAAAAAUGAGGACUGAUUGAUUGCCAGAGAGUCAGUCAGCCCCGCUGGUGUGUUGGUCAGGUGAAGCAUGACUGUGCUUUGAAAUUUCUCCUAGGGGACAGGAAUGAUACCACGUAGGAGCUGUGAAUCCCAGCUGGCUUCAUCCAAGAGCUUAUUGGCUGCUCCCCUCCAGUGGUUUGUUGGUUAGAACUCGGGGAUGAAGUGUAGUGGACGUUUGUUGUCUUUGCCUUUCGAGCAUUCAUUCAUACCUUCUUCUCAUAACAGUUCCUUGAAUUUCCUUUGGGAGGCUUCCCUUCCCUAUUCUUGGCCCAUGUAAUAAAAGCUAAGAAUGACAGCUAACGUGCAUUAAACUCUCAUCAUGUGCCAGGCACUGGUCGAACCAUCUUACAUUAACUCAUUUAAUCCUUAUACUAAC
rnacentral:lncRNA from 1 species